rnacentral:rRNA from 1 species
GCGUAACGACUUGGGCGCUGUCUCAACCAUGGACCCGGUGAAAUUGUAUUAUUCGUGAAGAUGCGAAUUACCUGCGGAAGGACGGAAAGACCCCGUGAACCUUUACUGCAGCUUGGCAUUGGCUGUUGGUGCGGUGCGUAGAGGAUAGGCAGGAGCCUGCGAACCGGGAACGCCAGUUCCCGGGGAGGCGCCCUUGGAAUACUGCCCUCACCGCAUCGGCAGCCUAACGCGCCGCCCUCAUCGGGGGCGCGGACCGUGCCAGGUGGGUAGUUUGACUGGGGCGGUCGCCUCCUAAACUGUAACGGAGGCGUGCGAAGGUUCGCUCAGGGCGGUUGGCAAUCGCCCGCAGAGCACAAGAGUACAAGCGAGCCUGACUGCGAGACCAACAAGUCGAGCAGAGACGAAAGUCGGUUCUAGUGAUCCGGCGGCCCAGCGUGGAAUGGCCGUCGCUCAACGGAUAAAAGGUACUCCGGGGAUAACAGGCUGAUCUUGCCCAAGAGUCCACAUCGACGGCAAGGUUUGGCACCUCGAUGUCGGCUCAUCGCAUCCUGGGGCUGUAGCAGGUCCCAAGGGUUGGGCUGUUCGCCCAUUAAAGCGGUACGCGAGCUGGGUUCAGAACGUCGUGAGACAGUUCGGUCCCUAUCCUCCGUGGGCGCAAGAGAAUUGAGAGGAUCUGUCCCUAGUACGAGAGGACCGGGAUGGACGCACCUCUGGUGCCGCAGUUGUCGACCAACGGCACAGCUGCCUAGCUACGUGCGGAACGGAUAACCGCUGAAAGCAUCUAAGCGGGAAGCCGGCCUCGAGAUGAGUUCUCUCUUCGGUAAGGCCACUUGUAGACCACAAGUUCGAUAGGCCGCAGCUGCAAGCCCCGCGAGGGGCUCAGGCGAGCGGUACUAAUCGGCCGAGCUCUUCAUCUC